AUGGCGACCGGCGCACGGGUGAGUAACACGUAUCCAACCUGCCGAUGACUCGGGGAUAGCCUUUCGAAAGAAAGAUUAAUACCCGAUGGUAUAAUCAGACCGCAUGGUUUGAUUAUUAAAGAAUUUCGGUUAUCGAUGGGGAUGCGUUCCAUUAGGCAGUUGGUGAGGUAACGGCUCACCAAACCUUCGAUGGAUAGGGGUUCUGAGAGGAAGGUCCCCCACAUUGGAACUGAGACACGGUCCAA
rnacentral:rRNA from 1 species